rnacentral:sRNA from 1 species
GCUGGGCGUGGUGGUGCACACCUGUGAUCCCAGCAGCUUGGGAGGCUAAGGCAGGAGGAUCUAGAGUUCAAAGCCAGCCUCAGCAACUUAUCAAGGCUCUAAGCAACUCAGCAAGACCCUGUCUCUA